GACCACCCUGUCUGCGGGUAUUAUCACCGCCUUCUGUGAGGAGGCACGACUCAUGGGAUAAUACGUAGUUGCCGCAUUCUUGAUUUAUCCAAUGUACUAGACCAUCGCGAAAGGAUCAUUCACGCAUUUUCUGCGAACGAUCGCAGCCAGAAACAAGUUCGCGUUAAUCUAGAACGAAUCAAUGGGUUGUAAAGAAUUUGACGAGGCUGCUAAAUGAAGAAUCAGCAUCCGCUGGCUUAGCGCGAGCAGCCGCAGUACUACUAGGGUUCAAAGUUUAAUCAGUAGUUACCCGGACGUAACGCGUUCACAGGGGAAUAUGCAAGACAGAUGUGCAAUCCCCGGGAUCAAACAUGGGAACCUGCAUUUGUGACUGCAUGGCUAGAGUACGGUAGAGGGGGAUGCAAAUCCCGCGUGUAGCACUGAAAUGUGUAGAUAUGCGGAGGAACACCGAUGGCGAAGGCAAUCCCCUGGACCUGUACUGACGCUCAUGCACGAAAGCGUGGGGAGCAAACAGGAUUAGAUACCCUGGUAGUCCACGCCCUAAACGAUGUCAACUGGUUGUUGGACGGCUUGCUGUUCAGUAACGAAGCUAACGCGUGAAGUUGACCGCCUGGGGAGUACGGCCGCAAGGUUGAAACUCAAAGGAAUUGACGGGGACCCGCACAAGCGGUGGAUGAUGUGGUUUAAUUCGAUGCAACGCGAAAAACCUUACCUACCCUUGACAUGUCUAGAAGUUACCAGAGAUGGUUUCGUGCUCGAAAGAGAGCUAGAACACAGGUGCUGCAUGGCCGUCGUCAGCUCGUGUCGUGAGAUGUUGGGUUAAGUCCCGCAACGAGCGCAACCCUUAUCAUUAGUUGCUACAUUUAGUUGGGCACUCUAAUGAGACUGCCGGUGAUAAACCGGAGGAAGGUGGGGAUGACGUCAAGUCCUCAUGGCCCUUAUAGGUGGGGCUACACACGUCAUACAAUGGCUGGUACAAAGGGUUGCCAACCCGCGAGGGGGAGCUAAUCCCAUAAAACCAGUCGUAGUCCGGAUCGCAGUCUGCAACUCGACUGCGUGAAGUCGGAAUCGCUAGUAAUCGUGGAUCAGAAUGUCACGGUGAAUACGUUCCCGGGUCUUGUACACACCGCCCGUCACACCAUGGGAGCGGGUUCUGUCAGAAGUAGUUAGCCUAACCGCAAGGGGGGCGAUACCACGGCAGCUCGACGU
rnacentral:rRNA from 1 species